AGAACACUGUGGUAGAAAACCAGGACUCUGUGGCCAGGAGGUCAUCGGCAUCAUGGGAAGAAUAGGGCAGAGAUGACCUCACUGGAGACUCCAGAAUCUUCCAGGACCAUGUUUGUUGAUGCUUGUUCCCGUGAGAUGUGAUCAUAGCUGACCUCAAGCGUUUGGCCUUGGACCUCUCUCAUGUUGAGUGUGACAGCACCUGGACUCCCAGCACAGAGGUGGCACUACCUACCCAUAGCGAUCUGGGCGCUCUCAUGUCAAUCACCCAUCAAGAGAAUGUACCACAGACUUGCCUGCAGGCCAAUCAG